rnacentral:rRNA from 1 species
GAUGAACGCUGACAGAAUGCUUAACACAUCAGCAAUUGAUUGUUGGCGGACGGGUGAGUAACGCGUAAAGACCUUGCCUCACAUCUAGGGACAACAUUUGGAAACGCAUGCUAAUACCUAAUACUGUGAGAGAGCUUUGCGUCCCAUUCGCUAGUUGUGGAGGUAACGGCUCACCAAGGCGAUGAUGGGUAGCCGGACUGAGAGGGUGAUCGGCCACGAGGGGAAUGAGACACGGCCCUGACUCCUACGGGAGGCAGAAGGGGGGAAUAUUUGACAAUGGACAAAAGGCUGAUCCAGCAAGUCUGUGUGCACGAUGAAGUUUUCGGAAUGUAAAGUGCUUUCAGUGGGGAAGCGGUACCAACAGAAGAAGUGACGGCUAAAUACGUGCCAGCAGCCGCGGUAAUAC